GCCUCAUUAGCUCAGUGGUUAGAGCACUGGCCUUGUGAACCGGGUCCGGAGUUCGAUUCUCUGAUUGGGCU